rnacentral:rRNA from 1 species
GACGAACCGUGCGAACGUUAAUCGGAUUCAUUGGGCUUAAAGGGCGCGUAGGCGGCGGCGUAAGUUCGUGGUGAAAUCCCAUCGGCUCAACCGUGGAAUUGCUUCGAAUACUGCGUCGCUCGAGGGAGAUAGGGGACCGCAGAACUGCCGGUGGAGCGGUGAAAUGUGUUGAUAUCGGCGGGAAUGCCAGUGCCGAAAGGGGCGGUCUGGACCUCUUCUGACGCUAAGGCGCGAAAGCUAGGGGAGCGAACGGG